AUGUCCACUCCCAGCGCUCCUCUCCAGAGUAUUGUUGGAGACGUAACGCAGCCGCGCUCCUCCAGAGUAUUGUUGGAGACGGAACGCAGCCGCGCUCCUCCAGAGUAUUGUUGGAGACGUAACGCAGCCGCGCUCCUCCAGAGUAUUGUUGGGAGACGUAAACGCAGCCGCGCUCCUCUCCAGAGUAUGUUGGAGAAGUAACGCUAAAUAGGCUCAAAGAGCUCCUGAUAAAGUUGGGUAGCUGACAUUCAGAGCAUAAAUAGACACGUUGAUUAGUCCCUGUUUUACAAUGGUGGCCUACCACAUGGAUUGGCAUUCAAUAAAUGGCAUUGAGGCCGACAUGGUAGGCUACACCCCAGGAAGCACGAGGUCUUUUUUUUUGGUCCUGUCCAGACCUCUAUUUUGUUGCUGGUGUUUACAGGCGGUAGGCUUACAACAGAUAUGCAUUUAUAAAAUUACAUGUCAGGCAACACUGUAGGCUACACCUCAGUAAGCAUGGACAUACCAAUGUCUUUGGAUGUCUUUUUCUGGUGUAGUCUGAACCUGCCUAAAUUCCACAUCCACAGACAUUGGUUUUUGCUCCAGUCUGGACAAAAAUCUGAACCAAUCAAGAUGUCUGUUUGGUUCAGAUUGGCGCGGUCUGGAUAAUCCCUGAUUGGCACAAACAAAUGUUGAAAUAUGUAAUUUAUAGACUUACAUUCAGAACUGAAAUGAACCUGAUUUCAACAUCCGGAAAAGACUCCUUUUCAAUGUCCUGUAAAUGAUGUCUUCACCUUUUAUUCAGAGCCUAAACUUCAACAUCUGGAAAAUAGUAUUUUCUGUCAUGUCAAUGUCAUUUGGUUCCUGGGACUAUUCUAGUUUUGCAGUGAGCACAUUUUGUUGCCAGUUUAGUCCCUCCUAGGUCGCCAGAACGGCAUAGACCGCCCUGAUGGGAUUGCGUGUAUUCACCCACUACAGGUUAUGGACACUGAACAACAAUAUACAGUGGGCAAAAAAGUAUUUAGUCAGCCACCAAUUGUGCAAGUUCUCCCACUUAAAAAGAUGAGAGGCCUGUAAUUUUCAUCAUGUAUACAGGGGGUACCGGUACAGAGUCAUAUGGAGGCUAUAUACAGGGGGGUACCGGUACAGAGUCAAUAUGGAGCUAAUACAGGGUGUUACG
rnacentral:lncRNA from 1 species